UACGUAGGUGGCAAGCGUUGUCCGGAAUUAUUGGGCGUAAAGCGCGCGCAGGCGGUCCUUUAAGUCUGAUGUGAAAGCCCACGGCUCAACCGUGGAGGGUCAUUGGAAACUGGGGGACUUGAGUGCAGGAGAGAAGAGUGGAAUUCCACGUGUAGCGGUGAAAUGCGUAGAGAUGUGGAGGAACACCAGUGGCGAAGGCGACUCACUGGACAGAUAUUGACGCUGAGGUGCGAAAGCGUGGGGAGCAAACAGG
rnacentral:rRNA from 1 species